UACAGAGGUGGCAAGCGUUGUUCGGAAUUACUGGGCGUAAAGGGCGCGUAGGCGGUCUUGUAAGUCUUGUGUGAAAUCCCUCGGCUUAACUGAGGAACUGCACGGGAUACUGCGAGACUUGAGAUCGGGAGAGGGAAGCGGAAUUCCGGGUGUAGCGGUGAAAUGCGUAGAUAUCCGGGGGAACACCGGUGGCGAAGGCGGCUUCCUGGACCGACACUGACGCUGAGGCGCGAAAGCUAGGGGAGCAAACGGG
rnacentral:rRNA from 1 species